rnacentral:lncRNA from 1 species
UUAUCCCAGCCCCUUCCUACUCCCAUUGAAUGCAGCUCUGUGAGGACACGAUAUUUGAAGCUGCAGUAGCUGAGGUGGCAAAAGAUGGCAGAACAGAAGAGCAGACAGAAUCUGGGUCCUAGAUGACUUCAUUGCACUGCUGCAACUGCCUUCUCCAGACCUCUUGCCAGGUGAAGAAAUUGAGACCCAGAGUGAUUAUAUGACCUGCCCAAGGUGGUCACGUCGUUAGGCCAUGGCAGAGAUCUGAAAUAAAAGGUCAGGUCUUCUGACUUCAGUCCAUGAUUUUUUUUUUUUUUUUUCUAUAACAUCAUGCUACCUAGAAGAAAAAGAAAUGAAGAUCAAGCUGCAGAGGAAACAGCCACCUGGGGCGUGUUCUUACGUUGCCUGGAAGCUGCACAAGAGGCCAAGUCAAAACAUGCAGAAUUCCAGUUGCCCAUGAUGUCACAGGCUGAGGCCCACACUCCAGAGACACUGUGGACUGACUGGCACCUAUGAGCUGACCUAAUAACAGUUACACCAUUACAGCUCCGAUUCUACAGAACAAUACAUAUCCAGUUCUUAUCUA